rnacentral:rRNA from 1 species
GACGAACGCUGGCGGCGUGCUUAACACAUGCAAGUCGAACGAGUGCCGCACGGGUGAGUAAUACGUAGUAACCUUGCCUCCUUUAUGGGAUAAGCCUUGGAAACGGGGUCUAAUACCGACUAAAGGGGGAUGGGCCCGCGGCCUAUCAGCGUGUUGGUGGGGUGAGGGUCUACCAAGGCGACGAUCCGUAACUGGUCUGAGGGGAUGAUCAGGCACACUGGAACUGGGACACGGUCCAGACUCCGACGGGAGGCAGGAGUGGGGAAUAUUGGACAAUGGGCGAAAACCUGAACGAACCAUGCCGGGGGUGUUGAGAAGGUCUUCGGGUUGGAAAGCACUUUAAGUUGGGGAGCGUUACCAACAGAAUAAGCACCGGCUAACUUCGUUCCAACAGCCGCGGUAAUUC